rnacentral:rRNA from 1 species
GACGAACGCUGGCGGCGUGCUUAACACAUGCAAGUCGAACGGUAAGGCCCUUCGGGGUACACGAGUGGCGAACGGGUGAGUAACACGUGGGUGAUCUGCCCUGCACUUCGGGAUAAGCCUGGGAAACUGGGUCUAAUACCGGAUAGGACUCCGGACUGCAUGGUCUGGGGUGGAAAGCUUUUGCGGUGUGGGAUGGGCCCGCGGCCUAUCAGCUUGUUGGUGGGGUGAUGGCCUACCAAGGCGACGACGGGUAGCCGGCCUGAGAGGGUGACCGGCAACACUGGGACUGAGAUCCGGCCCAGACUGCUACGGGAGGCAGCAGUGGGGAAUAUUGCACAAUGGGCGCAAGCCUGAUGCAGCGACGCCGCGUGAGGGAUGACGGCCUUCGGGUUGUAAACCUCUUUCAGCAUCGACGAAGCGAAAGUGACGGUAGGUGCAGAAGAAGGACCGGCCAACUACGUGCCAGCCGCCGCCGUAA